GGAGGCACCCGCGGAAAGNGGGGAGAGUGGCGGAUUGUGAAAAAGNGUGGNGACNUGCCUUCNGCCGGGGACAGCNGUUGGAAACAGCGGUAAUACCGGAUACGNUCGCCGCGCUGGGGCGCGGUGAAGAAAGGAGCUUUGGUUCGCCGGAGGAUGGGCCCGCGUCCCAUUAGCUUGCUGGCGGUGUAACGGACCACCAGGGCGAAGAUGGGUAGCCGGCCUGAGAGGGUGAACGGCCACACUGGGACUGAGAUACGGCCCAGACUCCUACGGGAGGCAGCAGCUAAGAAUAUUCCGCAAUGGGCGAAAGCCUGACGGAGNGACGCCGCGUGUACGAGGAAGGCCGAAAGGUUGUAAAGUACUUUUUCCGCCGGAGAAUAAGCGGGGGAGGGAAUGCUCCCGCGAUGACGGUAGGCGGGGAAUAAGCCCCGGCUAAUUGACGGAAAA
rnacentral:rRNA from 1 species